GCCCUUAUAGCUCAGUGGUAGAGCGCGACACUUGUACUCCUAUGCAAGCUUAUGUCGAGGUCCAUCGUUCAAUCCGGUGUGGGGGCA